GCUUUACAGUCUGCAUGCUGAGCCUUCCCCAUGUUUUUUUCCCAGCUUUCCAGUGAUGCACAACACAGUCCCUCCUGGAGGUGGACAAGCAAACCCCACCUUCCAGAACCUGAGGUUUCUCUCUUUGGGACACCAGCAUCUUGUGUGUCCACCCAAGGGACAUGAGCUCACACCAUGGGAGAAUGAGCAUGCCUGGAACAGCAGGGCCUAAUUCAUUGCUACAUCCCUAACAGCGCUGCUGAGAUGACUGCUGCCUGUGAGAUGUGUUAGUGGAAAGCACCUCUUCUUCAGCAGGAUAUGCUCAGGAAUGCUUUCAGUGCAGAUAAUGCACAUGAAGGUACAAUACAGCCAGUUGUCUGAGAAAAGAAGCCCGUUUUCUUCUAGUGGGUGGUAGGUAAGAAUUACUAAUCCAAUCUGCUUGAGUUAACGCAAAACAAGGAUUAGGGUAAAGUUCCCGAAUAUGUUAAUCUUCCUUUAUAGAAGUAAACUUUAGCACCGCUAUCAACCCCAUGGUUUAUGGUUCAUGGGAACAAUGAACCAAUUAAACUUGAGCGGAAAAAAAAAAAAUCUCACACAAGUUUUCUGAUUGUUACCUAAUACUUUGGAUUCUUCUGAUUCUUAAUUAUUUGCCUCUGUGUCAGAGGCACAGGAAAUAAAAUGUUGUUUAUUAUUCAUUAAACUGUUUCUAAACAUAUCCACAAUUAACUGUGUCUUAUUGUGGUUGUUCUUUUCAUCUCCCCCCUCUAUGAAUGUAGCUAUUAAAUGACACGUAAGGUCCUGGGUCGCUGAUAUAAUUGUUGGCAGCACAAACUGUCGGCUUACUGGAAUGGUUGUGCCUAUUCAUAGUUGGAUAGUUGUG